CCGUUCAUGUCGAAGAGAGGGGUGAGAACCGUCACCGGGUUCGAGCAGAGCAGCUUGCUGCGAUGAAGAUGAAGGAUCGCAGGCCGCCCCGAAGGGGUGAGCCACGCAGUGGCGAAUGAUCCUUCCCUCAUCGCCA
rnacentral:sRNA from 2 species